rnacentral:rRNA from 2 species
UGGGGAAUUUUGGACAAUGGGCGAAAGCCUGAUCCAGCCAUUCCGCGUGCAGGAUGAAGGCCCUCGGGUUGUAAACUGCUUUUGUACAGAACGAAAAGGUCUCUAUUAAUACUAGGGGCUCAUGACGGUACUGUAAGAAUAAGCACCGGCUAACUACGUGCCAGCAGCCGCGGUAAUACGUAGGGUGCAAGCGUUAAUCGGAAUUACUGGGCGUAAAGCGUGCGCAGGCGGUUAUAUAAGUCAGAUGUGAAAUCCCCGGGCUCAACCUGGGAACUGCAUUUGAGACUGUAUAGCUAGAGUACGGUAGAGGGGGAUGGAAUUCCGCGUGUAGCAGUGAAAUGCGUAGAUAUGCGGAGGAACACCGAUGGCGAAGGCAAUCCCCUGGACCUGUACUGACGCUCAUGCACGAAAGCGUGGGGAGCAAACAGG